GGGGAAUUAGCUCAGUUGGCUAGAGCACCUGCUUUGCAAGCAGGGGGUCAUCGGUUCGACUCCGAUAUUCUCCAC
rnacentral:tRNA from 1 species